AGUCGGGCCUGCCCACUGAGAAUUUUGAAGGGCCGCAGUAUUUUGACUGUGCAAAGGUAGCAUAAUCAUUAGUUUUUUAAUUGAAAGCUAGAAUGAAGGGUUUGAUGAGAAAAUUACUGUCUCAUUUGUAAUUAAAGAAUUUUAUUUUUAAGUUAAAAAGCUUAAAUUUAUUUAAAAGACGAGAAGACCCUAUAGAGUUUAAUUUAAAUUUAUUUUUAUAUUUUUAGAAUUUUAAAAUUUAAUUUUAAAUUUAAAUUUAAUUGGGGUGAUUAAAAAAUUUAUUUAACUUUUUUUAUUAUAAAACAAUAAUUUUUGAAUUUUUGAUCCAUAAAAAUGAUUACAAGAUUAAAUUACCUUAGGGAUAACAGCGAA
rnacentral:rRNA from 1 species